CUUGUGUGAUUUAUCAGGGGGAGGAAGGAGUGAGGGAAGUUCUUCAGAUCCUGAACGACGAGUUCCGUCUUUCCAUGGCUCUAUCAGGCUGCAGAAACGUAGCCGAAAUCAGGAGGAACCUCGUUCAGUUUUCCAAACUUUGACGACGAUAAGGACGACGGCGCCGCUUUAGCAGGAUUCUGGGCUGUUCCUGGAAUCCGACUUGUAAUCAUCCCCCAUUGUACGAGUGACAGAAUGUCGUGAGAAAGUGGAGUGUUGUUGGAAGACUGAGCGAUUGAUUAAUGAAAGUGUUUCUGGCUUUGGUGGCGGAAAGGAUGUGGGUGCUUAUCAUAAAAACAAACACAUUUCUUCUGGUUAAACUGUGCAAUGUUCAUGAGAAAUGCUGCCAGUGCUUGUGGUUGAAUAAAUACCUGCUGAGAUGAACA